rfam:Gramella forsetii KT0803 complete circular genome.
CGUCUUUGGAGUCCAGUGACCAUUUUAAACGGGGCGUAACCGAAAAGCCUUAUGAGUAGGAGUAUA